CCCUUAGAUGUUCUGGGCCGCACGCGCGCUACACUGUUCGACGCAGCGAGUCUUAACCUUGACCGAAAGGUUUGGGUAAUCUUCAGCAAAGUCGAACGUGAUGGGGAUCGAUCAUUGAAAUUAUUAAUCUUGAACGAGGAAUUCCUAGUAAACGCAGAUCAUCAAUCUGCAUUGAUUACGUCCCUGCCCUUUGUACACACCGCCCGUCGCACCUACCGAUUGGAUGGUCCGGUGAAGCCUCGGGAUUGUGGUUCUUGCCGCUUUAUUGUGGCGUGACCGCGAGAACUUGUCUAAACCUUAUCAUCUAGAGGAAGGUGAAGUCGUAACA
rnacentral:rRNA from 1 species